rnacentral:rRNA from 1 species
GACGAACGCUGGCGGCGUGCUUAACACAUGCAAGUCGAACGAUGAAGCCGGAGCUUGCUCUGGUGAAUUAGUGGCGAACGGGUGAGUAACACGUGAGUAACCUGCCCUUGACUCUGGGAUAACUGCUAGAAAUGGUAGCUAAUACCGGAUACGACCCUCGGAGGCAUCUCCAGGGGGUGGAAAGAAUUUCGGUCAAGGAUGGACUCGCGGCCUAUCAGCUAGUUGGUGAGGUAACGGCUAACCAAGGCGACGACGGGUAGCCGGCCUGAGAGGGUGACCGGCCACACUGGGACUGAGACACGGCCCAGACUCCUACGGGAGGCAGCAGUGGGGAAUAUUGCACAAUGGGCGCAAGCCUGAUGCAGCGACGCCGCGUGAGGGAUGAAGGUCUUCGGAUUGUAAACCUCUUUCAGUAGGGACGAAGCGAAAGUGACGGUACCUAAAGAAGAAGCACCGGCUAACUACGUGCCAGCAGCCGCGGUAA